GACGAACGCUGGCGGCGUGCUUAACACAUGCAAGUCGAACGGUGAAGCCUUCGGGUGGAUCAGUGGCGAACGGGUGAGUAACACGUGAGCAAUCUGCCCUUGACUCUGGGAUAACUUCGGGAAACCGGAGCUAAUACCGGAUAUGACAUCUGGCCGCAUGGUCUGGGUGUGGAAAGAUUUAUCGGUCAAGGAUGAGCUCGCGGCCUAUCAGCUUGUGGUGGGAAUGGCCACCAAGGCGACGACGGUAGCCGGCCUGAGAGGGCGACCGGCCACACUGGGACUGAGACACGGCCCAGACUCCUACGGGAGGCAGCAGUGGGGAAGUCUUGCGCAAUGGGCGAAAGCCUGACGCAGCGACGCCGCGUGAGGGAUGACGG
rnacentral:rRNA from 1 species